rnacentral:rRNA from 1 species
CGUAGGUGGCGAGCGUUAUCCGGAAUGAUUGGGCGUAAAGGGUGCGCAGGCGGCAUAUCAAGUCUGAAGUGAAAGGUACGGGCUCAACCUGUACAGGCUUUGGAAACUGGUAUGCUCGAGGACAGGAGAGGGCGGUGGAACUCCACGUGUAGCGGUAAAAUGCGUAGAGAUGUGGAAGAACACCAGUGGCGAAGGCGGCCGCCUGGCCUGUAACUGACGCUCAGGCACGAAAGCGUGGGGGAGCAAAUAGGAUU